rnacentral:lncRNA from 1 species
GUCCGCUCCCAUAGCGGCCGUGGGAACUCAGCGGCACAGAUGUUUCUGCCCCUUGUACAAAUGAGGAAGCUGGGGUUCACACUGCUUCGACAGGCUCAACUGUGCCCAAAACUAGAGAGGAAUCAUCCACAAAAGAGUGCGGCGGCCAAGACUUCGGAAACGCGGCUGGGCUGCUGAGUGCUGCUCCAACAGGGAUCUACCAAUGGACAGUAAAAUAUCACUGAAAUUACCUUGGCAAACCUAUGGCAUGCUUGCCAGAGGGAGCUUCUUCCCUCCCUCCCCCUCUCCACUGAGCCUGAGGACAGUUCUCUCAUCACCUGCCCUUCUGCCCAGAAGCCCAAUGGGAGAUCUUCCUCCCUCCCUUGUCUGAGGUAAGGGGGUGGCUCACACGCAUGUGAGGGUGGAGCU